GAUGAACGCUGGCGGCGUGCCUAAUACAUGCAAGUCGAGCGAACGGACGAGAAGCUUGCUUCUCUGAUGUUAGCGGCGGACGGGUGAGUAACACGUGGAUAACCUACCUAUAAGACUGGGAUAACUUCGGGAAACCGGAGCUAAUACCGGAUAAUAUUUUGAACCGCAUGGUUCAAAAGUGAAAGACGGUCUUGCUGUCACUUAUAGAUGGAUCCGCGCUGCAUUAGCUAGUUGGUAAGGUAACGGCUUACCAAGGCAACGAUGCAUAGCCGACCUGAGAGGGGGAUCGGCCACACUGGAACUGAGACACGGUCCAGACUCCUACGGGAGGCAGCAGUAGGGAAUCUUCCGCAAUGGGCGAAAGCCUGACGGAGCAACGCCGCGUGAGUGAUGAAGGUCUUCGGAUCGUAAAACUCUGUUAUUAGGGAAGAACAUAUGUGUAAGUAACUGUGCACAUCUUGACGGUACCUAAUCAGAAAACCACGGCUAACUACGU
rnacentral:rRNA from 1 species